GUGAGGAAUUUUCCGCAAUGGGCGAAAGCCUGACGGAGCAAUGCCGCGUGAAGGAUGAAGGCCUAUGGGUUGUAAACUUCUUUUCUCAGAAAAGAAUUAUGACGGUAUCUGAGGAAUAAGCAUCGGCUAACUCUGUGCCAGCAGCCGCGGUAAGACAGAGGAUGCAAGCGUUAUCCGGAAUGAUUGGGCGUAAAGCGUCUGUAGGUUGUUUAAAAAGUAUUCUGUCAAAGAUUAGGGCUUAACCCUAGAUAGGCUGAAUAAACUUUUAAGCUAGAGUUUGGUAGAGGCAGAGGGAAUUCCCGGUGGAGCGGUGAAAUGCGUAGAUAUCGGGAGGAACACCAAAGGCGAAGGCACUCUGCUGGGCCAAUACUAACACUGAGAGACGAAAGCGAGGGGAGCAAAUGGGAUUAGAAACCCGGGUAGUCC
rnacentral:rRNA from 1 species